rnacentral:lncRNA from 1 species
AUCUAUGACAACGAGUAAAACUCUGAUAGACAAAAGAGUCCUCUUUCAAUUCAUUUGAAGGAGCUUACCCUGGAAAUCAAGGAGCUUAAUCUGGAAAUUAACAGCUCUUAAUCUGGAAAUCAAGUCAGCUCUGGAAACUGGAAGAAAGUUCCAAAAAGACACAUCCAGAUUGAUAGGGAAACAAGAAAGAUACAGAGAGGGGAUAUAGUAGGAUAACCGCAAUGCUGGGCUGUAAUAUCAGCAAACCACUGCAGAGAAGUAGGUGCUUUGUGGUUUAUGAUAAUGCUAAAUAUAUCAUAUAUGAAAAUAUAGAAUGGUAGCUGAAAGAAUGAAAAGAUCAUGCCAAUAGAAACACCGUAAUGUUUGUGAACAAUAGGAAUUAUUUACCUCCUCCCAAGGUAAUCCCAGUAGAUAAAGCAAGAGACUUUGCAAGAGAGAAUGGUCUGUCACUCACUGAGAUAACCACUCUAAACUGCAGAGGGUUAGAGCUGCUUUACAGGAAAUCCUUUCAGGGAUAUAUCACAUUUUUUCUCAGAAACAAAUGAAAGAUGUUAAAAUGAUCUGUAUCUAAACAAUAUUACCUUAAUUGUGUUUCAACAUCCACUAAUAAAAAGUCAAAUAUGCAAUAAGGUCAUAACA